UAGAGCGGCGGACGGGUGAGUAGCACGUGGACAAUCUCGCCCCCCGGCCCGGGAUAGCCCAGGGAAACCUGGAUUAAUACCGGAUGAGACGGGACCCGCGAUGGCGGGAUCCGGGAAAGGCGCUGCGGCGCCGCCGGGGGGAUGAGUCUGCGUCCCAUUAGCUAGACGGCGGGGUAACGGCCCACCGUGGCGACGAUGGGUAGCCGGCCUGAGAGGGUGGACGGCCACAUUGGAACUGAGACACGGUCCAGACUCCUACGGGAGGCAGCAGCUAAGAAUCUUCCGCAAUGGGCGAAAGCCUGACGGAGCGAACCGCCGCGUGAACGAAGAAGGCCGUGAGGUUGUAAAGUUCUUUUCGGGAGGGGGAACAACCGUGGCAGGGAAUGGCCGCGGGAUGACGUGAAUCCCGGAAUAAGCCCCGGCUAACUACGUGCCAGCCGCCGC
rnacentral:rRNA from 1 species